CUCUGCAAGACGUCAGUGCUGAUGAAAGUAAUUUUCUGGUCUGUGUGCCCAUUCACAAAUCAGACUGCAACUUCAGAAGACAGAAAAGCUGUGCUGCCCAGUAACCCCAACUUUUCCUCCAGGGAGAGGGCACCGUGACCUCACACAGCCCACACAGGGAGCAAGUGUCCGUGAAAGGCAGCACAAAUACUCCCAUUGACUUCAGCAUGUGCGUGUACAGGCCCUAGAUAUGGAGAAAACUGUAACUUGAAAGCAGACAUUUAUCAAGAUAAAGAGUCAAUAUGUCUUAUGAUGUAGAGCAUGCUGCAGAGGAUGAACAGCUCUGCUCUGAUCACUCCUUACUUGGCAAGUACUCACGCUUCACACCAACACUCCUCAGCACCAUUAAUAUUAUAUAUAGAUACCCUUGUCACAGAUUUACAUUCGGUGAUCCGAAAUCAGGACAGGAAGGGUGAAGUGUGCGGGGGGUGUACGGGUGA